GACGAACCGUGCGAACGUUAUUCGGAAUCACUGGGCUUAAAGGGCGCGUAGGCGGGUCACCAAGUCCGGGGUGAAAUCCCACGGCCCAACCGUGGAAGUGCCUUGGAUACUGGAGACCUCGAGGGGGAUAGGGGCGUGCGGAACUCAGGGUGGAGCGGUGAAAUGCGUAGAGAUCGGGAAGAACAUCGGUGGCGAAGGCGGCCUGCUGGGCUGUAGCUGACGCUGAGCUGCGAAAGCUAGGGGAGCAAACAGG
rnacentral:rRNA from 1 species